rnacentral:misc_RNA from 1 species
CAGAGUUCAUGCCCUCACGGGUAGAUCUCCCACCCUUGAAAAUAUUACCUUUGUUGCUUUGGCGGGUCGCUUUAGCUACCGGCUCCGGCUGGUAUGUGCCCGCCAGAGGACCCAACUCUUGUUUUUAGUGAUGUCUGAGUACUAUAUAAUAGUUA